rnacentral:rRNA from 1 species
GCGAACGCUGGCGGCAGGCUUAACACAUGCAAGUCGAGCGCCCCGCAAGGGGAGCGGCAGACGGGUGAGUAACGCGUGGGAACGUGCCCUUUAGUUCGGAAUAACUCAGGGAAACUUGCGCUAAUACCGGAUAAGCCCUUCGGGGGAAAGAUUUAUCGCUGAAGGAUCGGCCCGCGUAAGAUUAGCUAGUUGGUGAGGUAAUGGCUCACCAAGGCUAUGAUCUUUAGCUGUUCUGAGAGGAAGAUCAGCCACACUGGGACUGAGACACGGCCCAGACUCCUACGGGAGGCAGCAGUGGGGAAUAUUGGACAAUGGGCGCAAGCCUGAUCCAGCCAUGCCGCGUGAGUGAUGAAGGCCUUAGGGUUGUAAAGCUCUUUCACCCGGGAAGAUAAUGACUGUACCGGGAGAAGAAGCCCCGGCUAACUCCGU